rnacentral:rRNA from 1 species
UGCAUAUCCCAAAAGCGGAGGAAAAGAAACUAACAAGGAUUCCCCUAGUAACUGCGAGUGAAGCGGGAAAAGCUCAAAUUUAAAAUCUGGUGGUCUUCUGGCCAUCCGAGUUGUAAUCUAGAGAAGUGUUAUCCGUGCUGGACCGUGUACAAGUCCCCUGGAAUGGGGCGUCAUAGAGGGUGAGAAUCCCGUCUUUGACACGGACUACCAGGGCUUUGUGAUGCACUCUCAACGAGUCGAGUUGUUUGGGAAUGCAGCUCAAAAUGGGUGGUAAAUUCCAUCUAAAGCUAAAUAUUGGCGAGAGACCGAUAGCGAACAAGUACCGUGAGGGAAAGAUGAAAAGAACUUUGGAAAGAGAGUUAAACAGUACGUGAAAUUGUUGAAAGGGAAACGCUUGAAGUCAGUCGCGUCGGCCGGGGAUCAACCUUGCUUUUGUGAGGCGUACUUCCUGGUUGACGGGUCAGCAUCAGUUUUGGCUGCUGGACAAAGGUCAGGGAAAUGUGGCACCUUCGGGUGUGUUAUAGUCUCUGAUCAUAUACAGUGGCUGGGACUGAGGAACUCAGCACGCCGAAAGGCCGGGGUUCGCCCACGUUCGUGCUUAGGAUGCUGGCAAAAUGGCUUUAAUCGACCCGUCUUGAAACACGGACCAAAGGAGUCA